UGGGGAAUAUUGCACAAUGGGCGGAAGCCUGAUGCAGCGACGCCGCGUGGGGGAUGAAGGCCUUCGGGUUGUAAACUCCUUUCGACAGGGACGAAGCUUUUGUGACGGUACCUGUAUAAGAAGCACCGGCUAACUACGUGCCAGCAGCCGCGGUAAUACGUAGGGUGCGAGCGUUGUCCGGAAUUACUGGGCGUAAAGAGCUCGUAGGCGGUUUGUCGCGUCGUCUGUGAAAUUCCGGGGCUUAACUCCGGGCGUGCAGGCGAUACGGGCUGACUUGAGUGCUGUAGGGGAGACUGGAAUUCCUGGUGUAGCGGUGAAAUGCGCAGAUAUCAGGAGGAACACCGAUGGCGAAGGCAGGUCUCUGGGCAGUAACUGACGCUGAGGAGCGAAAGCAUGGGUAGCGAACAGG
rnacentral:rRNA from 1 species